rnacentral:rRNA from 1 species
ACGAACGCUGGCGGCGUGCCUAAUACAUGCAAGUCGAACGGCUUUUCUAUGGAAGCUUGCUUCCACUGAGAAGAUAGUGGCGAACGGGUGAGUAACACGUGGGUAACCUGCCCAUAAGAGGGGGAUAACAUCCGGAAACGGGUGCUAAUACCGCAUAGUUUUCUUGAUCGCAUGAUUGAGAAAGGAAAGACGGCCUUUGUGCUGUCGCUUAUGGAUGGACCCGCGGCGUAUUAGUUAGUUGGUGAGGUAACGGCUCACCAAGACGAUGAUACGUAGCCGACCUGAGAGGGUGAUCGGCCACAUUGGGACUGAGACACGGCCCAAACUCCUACGGGAGGCAGCAGUAGGGAAUCUUCCGCAAUGGACGAAAGUCUGACGGAGCAACGCCGCGUGAGUGAAGAAAGGUUUUCGGAUCGUAAAACUCUGUUGUCAGAGAAGAACAAGUUGGAGAGUAACUGCUCCAGCCUUGACGGUAUCUGACCAGAAAGCCACGGCUAACUACGUGCCAGCAGCGGC